rnacentral:lncRNA from 1 species
GAAUGUGUUGCAAUUUUAAUUGUAUUUAUAGCUUGCAAAUAAUAUAGUACUAGCCACUAGGAGUGGUAUUUCCCUCUGAAUUGGGAUCUUCUUUGCGUCACUCUUUGAUUCUGUCAGUGUGAGUUUUGCAGUUUACAGUUCGCACUAUGUUUGAGCUUGGUGUAUCAUCUCAACUCAACUGGUCAUCUCAAUUCAACUACAAGUGUAUUUGAAAUUUUUGACUAGACUGCCCGAAAAAUUACUCCAGCGUCACAAUUAUUUAUUUAUUUUACUUUUUAUAAACAUGUGUGUGAUCAAAUAGAAGGGUUAAAUUCUUGUGAGUCACAAGUUGUGUGGUAAUUUUUCUAUGUUUUAUGGGUUUUGCUGAUAAGUACGUUUUGAAUACUAAGUUGUUAGAAUAGAU